rnacentral:rRNA from 1 species
AUUGAACGCUGGCGGCAUGCUUUACACAUGCAAGUCGAACGGCAGCGCGGGCUUCGGCCUGGCGGCGAGUGGCGAACGGGUGAGUAAUGCAUCGGAACGUGCCCAGUAGUGGGGGAUAGCCCGGCGAAAGCCGGUUUAAUACCGCAUACGACCUGAGGGUGAAAGCGGGGGACCGAAAGGCCUCGCGCUAUUGGAGCGGCCGAUGUCGGAUUAGCUAGUUGGUGGGGUAAAGGCUUACCAAGGCGACGAUCCGUAGCUGGUCUGAGAGGACGACCAGCCACACUGGGACUGAGACACGGCCCAGACUCCUACGGGAGGCAGCAGUGGGGAAUUUUGGACAAUGGGGGCAACCCUGAUCCAGCCAUGCCGCGUGCGGGAAGAAGGCCCUCGGGUUGUAAACCGCUUUUGUUCGGGAAGAAAUCCUCUGGGCUAAUACCCCGGGGGGAUGACGGUACCGGAAGAAUAAGCACCGGCUAACUACGUG